rnacentral:rRNA from 1 species
AUUGAACGCUGGCGGCAUGCUUUACACAUGCAAGUCGAACGGCAGCGCGGGCUUCGGCCUGGCGGCGAGUGGCGAACGGGUGAGUAAUGCAUCGGAACGUGCCCAGUAGUGGGGGAUAGCCCGGCGAAAGCCGGAUUAAUACCGCAUACGACCUGAGGGUGAAAGCGGGGGACCGAAAGGCCUCGCGCUAUUGGAGCGGCCGAUGUCGGAUUAGCUAGUUGGUGGGGUAAAGGCUUACCAAGGCGACGAUCCGUAGCUGGUCUGAGAGGACGACCAGCCACACUGGGACUGAGACACGGCCCAUACUCCUACGGGAGGCAGCAGUGGGGAAUUUUGGACAAUGGGGGCAACCCUGAUCCAGCCAUGCCGCGUGCGGGAAGAAGGCCUUCGGGUUGUAAACCGCUUUUGUUCGGGAAGAAAUCCUCUGGGCUAAUACCCCGGGGGGAUGACGGUACCGGAAGAAUAAGCACCGGCUAACUACGUG